rnacentral:tRNA from 1 species
GCGGAAAGGGUUUUGGAAUUUAUUUACAUUCUCAAAAAAUGGUACAGUAGCUAAACCAGCUGGAAC